CAGCCGUAAACUAUGCGCGUUAGGUGUACUGGUGACCACGAGUCACCGGGGUGCCGAAGGGAAACCGUGAAACGUGCCGCCUGGGAAGUACGGUCGCAAGGCUGAAACCUAAAGGAAUUGGCGGGGGAGCACCACAACGGGUGGAGCCUGCGGUUUAAUUGGACUCAACGCCGGACAACUCACCGGGGACGACAGCAAUAUGUAGGCCAGGCUGAAGACCUUGCCUGAAUCGCUGAGAGGAGGUGCAUGGCGUAGACGUCU
rnacentral:rRNA from 1 species